rnacentral:rRNA from 1 species
AUGAACGCUGGCGGCAUGCCUAACACAUGCAAGUCGAACGAGAUCUUCGGAUCUAGUGGCGCACGGGUGAGUAACGCGUGGGAACCUACCUUUUAGUUCGGGAUAACGUUUGGAAACGAACGCUAAUACCGUAUACGCCCUCCGGGGGAAAGGUCAGCCGCUGAAAGAGGGGCCCGCGUCUGAUUAGCUUGUUGGUAGGGUAAUGGCCUACCAAGGCUACGAUCAGUAGCUGGUCUGAGAGGAUGAUCAGCCACACUGGGACUGAGACACGGCCCAGACUCCUACGGGAGGCAGCAGUGGGGAAUAUUGGACAAUGGAGGCAACUCUGAUCCAGCAAUGCCGCGUGUGUGAUGAAGGCCCUAGGGUUGUAAAGCACUUUCAACGGUGAAGAUGAUGACGGUAGCCGUAGAAGAAGCCCCGGCUAACU